UACGGAGGGGGCUAGCGUUAUUCGGAAUUACUGGGCGUAAAGCGCACGUAGGCGGCUUUGUAAGUAAGAGGUGAAAGCCCGGAGCUCAACUCCGGAACUGCCUUUUAGACUGCAUCGCUUGAAUCCAGGAGAGGUGAGUGGAAUUCCGAGUGUAGAGGUGAAAUUCGUAGAUAUUCGGAAGAACACCAGUGGCGAAGGCGGCUCACUGGACUGGUAUUGACGCUGAGGAGCGAAAGCAUGGGGAGCGAACAGG
rnacentral:rRNA from 1 species